rnacentral:rRNA from 1 species
CCUGGUGUAGCGGUGGAAUGCGCAGAUAUCAGGAGGAACACCAAUGGCGAAGGCAGGUCUCUGGGCCACAACUGACGCUGAGGAGCGAAAGCGUGGGGAGCAAACAGGAUUAGAUACCCUGGUAGUCCACGCCGUAAACGGUGGGAACUAGAUGUGGGGACCAUUCCAUGGUUUCUGCGUCGCAGCUAACGCAUUAAGCGCCCCGCCUGGGGAGUACGGUCGCAAGACUAAAACUCAAAGGAAUUGACGGGGGCCCGCACAAGCAGCGGAGCAUGCGGCUUAAUUCGAUGCAACGCGAAGAACCUUACCUAGGCUUGACAUAUAGAGAAAUCCCACAGAGAUGUGGAGUCCGUAAGGGCUCUAUACAGGUGGUGCAUGGUUGUCGUCAGCUCGUGUCGUGAGAUGUUGGGUUAAGUCCCGCAACGAGCGCAACCCUCGUUCUGUGUUGCCAGCAUUUAGUUGGGGACUCAUAGGAGACUGCCGGGGUCAACUCGGAGGAAGGUGGGGAUGACGUCAAAUCAUCAUGCCCCUUAUGUCUUGGGCUUCACGCAUGCUACAAUGGCCGGUACAGAGGGCUGCAAUACCGUAAGGUGGAGCGAAUCCCAAAAAGCCGGUCUCAGUUCGGAUUGAGGUCUGCAACUCGACCUCAUGAAGUCGGAGUCGCUAGUAAUCGUAGAUCAGCAACGCUACGGUGAAUACGUUCCCGGGCCUUGUACACACCGCCCGUCAAGUCACGAAAGUCGAUAACACCCGAAGCCGGUGGCCUAACCGCAAGGAGGGAGCCGUCGAAGGUGGGAUUGGUGAUUGGGACUAAGUCGUAACAAGGUAGCCGUACCGGAAGGUGCGGCUG